UCGUGCUAGAUGGGGAGCUGGCGGUGCCCUGAACCCGCAACCCGCCUUAGCGGGGUUGAACUCCCUCUCGAGGUCCGGUUCUGUGGGACUGGCGGCGUCGCGUGAUGUUGAUGGACGGGUCCCGCGCGGCGCGGAACGGUGAACUCGGUCAGGACCGGAAGGUAGCAGCCGUAAGCCGAUCUCCGCGGGUGACGUGGGAGUGCCCACCCGGAGUUAACGAGCGUCGUUAAGCUGGAGAAUUGUGAUCGACAGAGGGUGCACGG
rnacentral:SRP_RNA from 1 species